UACGAAGGGAGCUAGCGUUGUUCGGAAUCACUGGGCGUAAAGCGCACGUAGCGGAUGUGCCAGUCAGGGGUGAAAUCCUGGAGCUCAACUCCAGAACUGCCUUUGAUACUGAGGAUCUUGAGUUCGGGAGAGGUGAGUGGAACUGCGAGUGUAGAGGUGAAAUUCGUAGAUAUUCGGAGAAAACACCAGUGGCGAAGGGCGGC
rnacentral:rRNA from 1 species